rfam:Trichomonas vaginalis G3, whole genome shotgun sequence.
GCCUGCGUAGCAUAGUGAUUAUUGCGUGCGCCUUGUAAGCGCAAGGUCGCCGGUUCAACUCCAGUCGUAGGCA